rnacentral:rRNA from 1 species
GAUGAACGCUGGCGGCGUGCCUAAUACAUGCAAGUCGAGCGAACGGACGAGAAGCUUGCUUCUCUGAUGUUAGCGGCGGGCGGGUGAGUAACACGUGGAUAACCUACCUAUAAGACUGGGAUAACUUCGGGAAACCGUAGCUAAUACCGGAUAAUAUUUUGAACCGCAUGGUUCAAAAGUGAAAGACGGUCUUGCUGUCACUUAUAGAUGGAUCCGCGCUGCAUUAGCUAGUUGGUAAGGUAACGGCUUACCAAGGCAACGAUGCAUAGCCGACCUGAGAGGGUGAUCGGCCACACUGGAACUGAGACACGGUCCAGACUCCUACGGGAGGCAGCAGUAGGGAAUCUUCCGCAAUGGGCGAAAGCCUGACGGAGCAACGCCGCGUGAGUGAUGAAGGUCUUCGGAUCGUAAAACUCUGUUAUUAGGGAAGAACAUAUGUGUAAGUAACUGUGCACAUCUUGACGGUACCUAAUCAGAAAGCCACGGCUAACUACGUGCCAGCAGCCGCGGUAAUACGUAGGUGGCAAGCGUUAUCCGGAAUUAUUGGGCGUAAAGCGCGCGUAGGCGGUUUUUUAAGUCUGAUGUGAAAGCCCACGGCUCAACCGUGGAGGGUCAUUGGAAACUGGAAAACUUGAGUGCAGAAGAGGAAAGUGGAAUUCCAUGUGUAGCGGUGAAAUGCGCAGAGAUAUGGAGGAACACCAGUGGCGAAGGCGACUUUCUGGUCUGUAACUGACGCUGAUGUGCGAAAGCGUGGGGAUCAAACAGGAUUAGAUACCCUGGUAGUCCACGCCGUAAACGAUGAGUGCUAAGUGUUAGGGGGUUUCCGCCCCUUAGUGCUGCAGCUAACGCAUUAAGCACUCCGCCUGGGGAGUACGACCGCAAGGUUGAAACUCAAAGGAAUUGACGGGGACCCGCACAAGCGGUGGAGCAUGUGGUUUAAUUCGAAGCAACGCGAAGAACCUUACCAAAUCUUGACAUCCUUUGACAACUCUAGAGAUAGAGCCUUCCCCUUCGGGGGACAAAGUGACAGGUGGUGCAUGGUUGUCGUCAGCUCGUGUCGUGAGAUGUUGGGUUAAGUCCCGCAACGAGCGCAACCCUUAAGCUUAGUUGCCAUCAUUAAGUUGGGCACUCUAAGUUGACUGCCGGUGACAAACCGGAGGAAGGUGGGGAUGACGUCAAAUCAUCAUGCCCCUUAUGAUUUGGGCUACACACGUGCUACAAUGGACAAUACAAAGGGCAGCGAAACCGCGAGGUCAAGCAAAUCCCAUAAAGUUGUUCUCAGUUCGGAUUGUAGUCUGCAACUCGACUACAUGAAGCUGGAAUCGCUAGUAAUCGUAGAUCAGCAUGCUACGGUGAAUACGUUCCCGGGUCU